rnacentral:lncRNA from 1 species
CAUAUAUUUCACCCAUUUUCUUGGGAAAUCAUCGUGUUGCACCCAUUUUUUUGCAGAUGAUUCUUUUGACGUUAAGCGCGACUUGAAUUAUGGUCCGUAUGAUUAUUCGCAAAUGUGAGUAUCGGCGCCGUGGCAUUUUACUUGAUAUUUAAACGACAACGGGAGGUACAGUGGGCACGCACAAGGAAACAAAUGACAAGAGGGGGAAGAAAGGAGAAGGAGUGUAUGU